rnacentral:rRNA from 1 species
GAUCAUGGCUCAGGAUGAACGCUAGCUACAGGCUUAACACAUGCAAGUCGAGGGGCAUCAGGGUGUAGCAAUACUCUGCCGGCGACCGGCGCACGGGUGAGUAACGCGUAUGCAACUUGCCUAUCAGAGGAGAAUAGCUCAUCGAAAGAUGAAUUAAUGCUCCAUGAAACAGGGUCUCGCAUGGGAAUAUUUGUUAAAGAUUCAUCGCUG